ACAUUCCUUACUCAGUUUUCAGUUUAGUCUUGGCACAAAGCACAGCUACCUAACCUCGUAGUGGUUUUCAGUACAGUAUCCUGUCUGUGCAUACAGGGUAAUAAAAAACUAUCCUAAAAUAGUAUUUUAACAUAGUCCUUUAAAUUGUAUUUUAACAUAGUCAUUUAGCAUAGAGUUUUAACUGUAUGUAUCCUGUCACAACAGCCAGAGACGUCACUCAAAGGACAUCUGGCCCACCCACCUAUUGUUCAUCUAGCAACAUGAACUGAAUCAAAAUAAACACUGAAGAUCAAUUAAAACACCUGUUCUCUGACUUGUUACUUAGCACUGGUGUUCUCUGUGAUGUAAUCAAUAGCCACAUUCCAGAAGGUCUGCAAAGCUGACAUCUACACAGGCGUAGUGAAAUUUGGUUCUGACUGCUUUGCAUAUUGUCUGGAAUACGGCCAAUGUGUUUAGUGCUUGUUGUUGUGUUAAUGUCUGCUUUGAUGUUCUAGAUUGAUUUGUUUAUUGUGGUAGAUUGACUGGUUUCAGUUGAUUGUGUGAUGUCGGUGUCUUGUGUGAUGUCGGUGUCUUGUGUGAUGUCGGUGUCUUGUGUGAUGUCGGUGUCUUGUGUGAUGUCAGUGUCGUCUUGUGUGAUGUCAGUGUCGUCUUGUGUGAUGUCAGUGACAUAUUGUGUGAUGUCAGUGUCGUCUUGUGUGAUGUCAGUGUCGUAUUGUGUGAUGUCAGUGUCGUCUUCUGUGAUGUCAGUGACAUAUUGUGUGAUGUCAGUGACAUAUUGUGUGAUGUCAGUGUCGUCUUGUGUGAUGUCAGUGACAUAUUGUGUGAUGUCAGUGACAUAUUGUGUGAUGUCAGUGAUGUCUUGUGGGAUGUACACCAACUGUCCCUGUUGAGUGAGGUGGUUACAGUGAUUUUGUAGUGAUCGCUAUUCUUCAGGCAGUUUGUUUCACAGAUUGAUGAUGUCCUUAAUCUGUUGAGUGCUACUUUCUGUUCUUCCUUAAAUGUAUGCAUUUUUAUUAAUGAUCUUUCAUUGAAGAAAAUUAGGAUACAGUAAAUUAUGGUAAAUUCUGCAUAAUUUCAAGGUAUUGUCCUACAGCCCUUCAGAUCUAAAAUGUGGCAGUCCCUUCCCUCAGUGCAGUAUAAGACAGUGUCUGAAUGCGCCUCUCGCAGGUCCACAUCACCACCAAGAAGAUAGACCUGAGCCACAUCACCUCCAAAUGUGGAUCAAUGUCCAACAUCCGUCACCGGCCAGGUAAUCAGCACUUUUUUAGUUGAUUCAUUAAUAUUGAGUGAUUAUCUAAUAGAGAGAGUAUUCCAAUCUUUUGGAUGAACAGGGCAUAAGAACAAUACAUUUCUAGUUACACUUUCAUACAUGACAUUUUUAUGCUGUACCUCAGACAAGUCACUAACUGUAGUUUAAUUAGCAAUGGACUAUUAAUCCUACAGGCAUUUUGUCCUGUGUAGUUACAUAGUUCAACUAUUGCUUCUGUUAAUUGCUUUCCCCCCCCCCCCCAAAAAAAAAAAGAUAUAGAUGUACUAUUGUAAAGUGGUUGUUCCACUGGAUAUCAUAAGGUGAAUGCACCAAUUUGUAAGUUAUUCUGGAUAAGAGCCUCUGC
rnacentral:lncRNA from 8 species